GAGCAAGCUCGUAAGGGCGUGUGGUGGAUGCCUUGGCGUCAAGAGGCGAUGAAAGACGUGAGAACCUGCGAUAUGCCUCGGGGAGCUGGUAACUGAGCUUUGAUCCGAGGAUUUCUGAAUGGGGAAACCCGGCCACAUCUGUGGUCACCUGCGGAGGAAUGCAUAUGCCGCAGGAGCGAACCUGGCGAACUGAAACAUCUAAGUACCCAGAGGAAAAGAAAGCAACCGCGAUUCCGGAAGUAGCGGCGAGCGAAACCGGACAAACUCACAGACUCGUGAACCAUUUGAAAGAUGGACCGCAGAGGGUGCCAGUCCCGUAGCGACGAGUGAGGUAGCCCUAGAGUAAGGUCGAGCCCGUGAAACUCGGCCUGAAUAUGGGGGGUCCACCCUCCAAGGCUAAAUACUCCUUGACGACCGAUAGUUUACCAGUAGGGCGACUGAAAGGUGAAAAGUUCCCCGACAAGGGAAGUGAAAUAGUUUCUGAAACCACACGCUUACAAGCGGUCGGAGCCUUUCUUCGGGAAGGUGACGGCGUGCCUUUUGCAUAAUGAUCCGGCGAGUUAACGUUUGUUGCAAGCUUAAGCCGUACCCCGGUGCAGGCGAAGGGAAACCGAGUGUUAAAUGCGCGACAAGUAGCAGGCGUUAGACGCGAAACCGAGCGAUCUACCCAUGGCCAGGGUGAAGGGACGGUAACACGUCCUGGAGGCCCGAACUCGUAGUCGUUGAAAAGACUUGAGAUGAGCUGUGGGGAGGAGUCAAAGUCUAAUCAUGCUCGGAGAUAUCUCGUUCUCCUCGAAAUAGUUUUUGGGCUAGCCUCACGCAAUACCUGUUGGGGGUAGAGCGACUGAUUGGAGCUGGGGCCCUUCCCGGGUACCCACUCCAACCAAACUCCGAAUACCAGCAGGCUUACCGUGGGAGUCAGACAGUGGGGGAUAAUCUUCAUUGUCAAAAGGGAAACAACCCAGACCGCCAGCUAAGGUCCCUAAUGAUCUCUUAGUUCGAAAGGAUGUCUGGGUCCGAUGACAGCCGGGAUGUUGGCUUAGAAGCAGCCACCAUUUAAAGAGUGCGUAAUAGCUCACCGGUCGAGGAUCCAGGCGCCGAUAAUGAUCGGGAAUAAGUUUUCAACCGAAGCUGCGGACUGUGCAUCGCACAGUGGUAGAGGAGCGUUCCUGUCAGCUGAGAAGGAGUUCGGGCAACGAGCUCUGGAGCGGCAGGAAGUGAUUAUGCCGGAUUGAGUAACGAUAAAGCAGGUGAAAAUCCUGCUCGCCGAAAUGCUAAGGUUUCCUGGGCAAGGUAAUUCCGCCCAGGGUUAGUCGGCCCCUAAGGCGAGGCUGAAAAGCGUAGUCGAUGGGAAGCGGGUUAAUAUUCCCGCACCGCGAAGUGGUGACGGAUCUCGUAAGUUUGUCGCACGGCUAGAUGUGUGCGUACCGCAAGGUCGAGGGCUUAGGUCCCGAAGCAAGCGUGAGAGGUUCCGCGAAAUAGCCCUUCAACAGCGACCGUACUAAAACUGACACAGGUAGCAAUGGUGAAUAACCUCAGGCGCUCGAGAGAACAGUAGUGAAGGAAUUAGGCAAAAUCACCCCGUAAGUUCGCGAGAAGGGGGCCCUCCCCGGCUUGACCGGAAGGGCGCAGAGAAAAGGCGCUGGCGACUGUUUAUCAAAAACACAGGACUGUGCUAACUCGCAAGAGGACGUAUACAGUCUGACACCUGCUCGAUGCCGGAAUGUCACGGAAGCUGGUUAGUCUCACGACAAAGCUAGCGACCCAAGCACCGGUCAAUGGCGGCCGUAACUAUGACGGUCCUAAGGUAGCGAAAUUCCUUGUCGGGUAAGUUCCGACGCGCAUGAAUGGUGUAACGACUGGCGCACUGUCUCCACUACUGACUCGGUGAAAUAGAAGACGCGGUGAAGAUACCGUGUACCCGCAGCAAGACGGAAAGACCCCGUGGACCUUCACUGUAGGUUGAUAUUGGCCACGACGGCAAACUGCGUAGGAUAGGUGGGAGGCUUUGAAGCAGGCGUUUCGGCGCUUGUGGAGCCGUCCUUGAAAUACCACCCUGUUUGUCGUCUUGACCUAACCGUGACCCUUGAAUCAGGGCGUGGAACAGUGUCAGCUGGGCAGUUUGACUGGGGCGGUCUCCUCCUAAAGAGUAACGGAGGAGCGCAAUGGUUGGCUCAGCACGGUUGGAAACCGUGUUUCGAGUGUAAGAGCACAAGCCAGCUUUACUGCGAGAGAGACAUCUCAAGCAGUCACGAAAGUGGGCUCUAGUGAUCCGAUGGUCCCGUGUGGAAGGGCCAUCGCUCAACGGAUAAAAGGUACCCCGGGGAUAACAGGCUGAUCGCUCCCGAGCGUCCAUAGCGGCGGAGCGGUUUGGCACCUCGAUGUCGGCUCGUCACAUCCUGGGGCUGAAGGCGGUCCCAAGGGUUGGGCUGUUCGCCCAUUAAAGUGGCACGCGAGCUGGGUUCAGACCGGCGUGAGCCAGGUCGGUCCCUAUCUGCUGUGGGCGUAGCAAGUUUGAGAGGAUUCUUCUUUAGUACGAGAGGAUUAGGAAGGACGGACCCCUGGUGUGCCAGUUGGACUGCUAAGUCCACCGCUGGGUAGCUAAGUCCGGCAGAGAUAACCGCUGAAAGCAUCUAAGCGGGAAGCUCCCCUCGAGAUGAGACUUGCAUGGACUUCGGUCCGAGAGACCCCCGGAAGACCACCGGGUUGAUAGGCGACAGGUGUACGGGCCGAAAUGCCCUCAGCUGAGUCGUACUAACGGUCGAUUGCUUGCUCAC
rnacentral:rRNA from 2 species